CCCUUAGAUGUUCUGGGCCGCACGCGCGCUACACUGAUGCAUUCAACGAGUUUCUUCCUGGUCCGAGAGGAAUGGGUAACCUUUUGAAAGUGCAUCGUGAUAGGGAUAGACUAUUGCAAUUAUUGGUCUUCAACGAGGAAUUCCUAGUAGACGUAGUUCAUCAGACUGCAUCGAUUACGUCCCUGCCCUUUGUACACACCGCCCGUCGCUCCUACCGAUUGAAUGCUCAGGUGAGCCAUUCGGACUUUCAUCAUGCUGGUGUCCAGUUUUGAUGAAGGAAAGUCUUGCGAACCUUAUCAUUUAGAGGAAGGAGAAGUCGUAACA
rnacentral:rRNA from 1 species